UCCAGACGGUAACCUGAUGAUCGGCGUUAAGCGCGCGCCAGUUGGAUUCUUUAGGUCUGAUGUUGCAAGGUCCACGCUCAACGUGGAGAGUCCUUGGAAACCUUGACGACCUGAGUGCAUGAGGAGGAAAGCUGGAAAUACCAUGUGUAGCCGUUGAAAUGCGUAGAGAUAUGGAGGGAACAUCCAGUGGGCGAAUGGCGACUUUCUGGUCUGUAAGCCUGACACUGAAGCGCGAAAGCGGUGGGGGUAGCCAAAUCAGGCAUUUAGAUAUCCCUGGUAGUUCCCCGCCCGUAAAACGAUGAGUGCUAAGGGUUAGAGGGGUUUCCGCCCUUUAGUGCUGAAGUUAACGCAUUAAGCACUCCGCCUGGGGAGUACGGCCGCAAGGCUGAAACUCAAAGGAAUUGACGGGGGGCCCGCACAAGCGGUGGAGCAUGUGGUUUAAUUCGAAGCAACGCGAAGAACCUUACCAGGUCUUGACAUCCUCUGAAAACCCUAGAGAUAGGGCUUCUCCUUCGGGAGCAGAGUGACAGGUGGUGCAUGGUUGUCGUCAGCUCGUGUCGUGAGAUGUUGGGUUAAGUCCCGCAACGAGCGCAACCCUUGAUCUUAGUUGCCAUCAUUAAGUUGGGCACUCUAAGGUGACCGCCGGUGACAAACCGGAGGAAGGUGGGGAUGACCUCAAAUCCUCAUGCCCCUUAUGGCCUGGGCUACACACGUGCUACAAUGGACGGUACAAAGAGCUGCAAGACCGCGAGGUGGAGCUAAUCUCAUAAAACCGUUCUCAGUUCGGAUUGUAGGCUGCAACUCGCCUACAUGAAGCUGGAAUCGCUAGUAAUCGCGGAUCAACAUGCCGCGGGAAUACGUUUCCGGCCUUGUACACCCCCCGUCCACCCGAGAGUUUGUUCCAACGAAAUCUGGUGGGGUACCUCCGACCAGCGUCUCAUCUAACA
rnacentral:rRNA from 1 species